GACGAACGCUGGCGGCGUGCUUAACACAUGCAAGUCGAACGGUAAGGCCCUUCGGGGUACACGAGUGGCGAACGGGUGAGUAACACGUGGGUGAUCUGCCCUGCACUUCGGGAUAAGCCUGGGAAACUGGGUCUAAUACCGGAUCGGACUCCUGGCUUCCUGGUUGGGGGUGGAAAGCUUUUGCGGUGUGGGAGGGGACCGCGGCCUAGCAGCUUGUUGGUGGGGUAAUGGCCUACCAAGGCGACGACGGGUAGCCGGCCUGAGAGGGUGACCGGUCACACUGGGACUGAGAUACGGCCCAGACUCCUACGGGAGGCAGCAGUGGGGAAUAUUGCACAAUGGGCGCAAGCCUGAUGCAGCGACGCCGCGUGAGGGAUGACGGCCUUCGGGUUGUAAACCUCUUUCAGCUAUGACGAAGCGCAAGUGACGGUAGUAGCAGAAGAAGGACCGGCCAACUACGUGCCAGCCGCCGCGGUAAAAC
rnacentral:rRNA from 1 species